rnacentral:rRNA from 1 species
UACGUAGGUGGCAAGCGUUGUCCGGAAUUAUUGGGCGUAAAGCGCGCGCAGGCGGUCCUUUAAGUCUGAUGUGAAAGCCCACGGCUCAACCGUGGAAGGUCAUUGGAAACUGGAGGACUUGAGUACAGAAGAGGAAAGCGGAAUUCCACGUGUAGCGGUGAAAUGCGUAGAGAUGUGGAGGAACACCAGUGGCGAAGGCGGCUUUCUGGAACGCAACUGACGCUGAGACGCGAAAGCGUGGGGAGCAAACAGG